CGUAAGGCGCCGAAUGAGUCAUUAAAAAUUAACAUCAUCCGAUCCCUAGUCGGCAUAGUUUAUGGUUAAGACUACGACGGUAUCUGAUCGUCUUCGAUCCCCUAACUUUCGUUCUUGAUUAAUGAAAACAUCCUUGGCAAAUGCUUUUCGCAGUAGUUAGUCUUCAAUAAAUCCAAGAAUUUCACCUCUGACAAUUGAAUACUAAUGCCCCCAACUAUCCCUAUUAAUCAUUACGUCAAUCCUAAGAAACCAACAAAAUAGGAUCGAACGUCCUAUUUCAUUAUUCCAUGCUAAUGUAUUCAAGCGUUAGCUUGCUUUAAACACUU
rnacentral:rRNA from 1 species